rnacentral:sRNA from 1 species
AUGUACCACGCGUACACUCCGGUUCCUACGCACUGUCCGCACCCACCUGACGACUGCUCGCUAGGUUUUGUUAGCC